CCAUUGGAGGUGCUGCAUCUUCACUUAUUCGUAAGAUGGGAGAAAUAGUGUAUUACUUUCAUUCAUGGGUUAAGCAUAGAAGCUUCUAAAUCUAAGGUACUUCAUUCAUGACAAAUAUACAGCCUAGCUCAAUACCUGAAUAAGUUGCUCAGAGACCAACUUUAACCUGUAUAAGUUUGAGGUGAAUAUCUUACCGAGACAAUGGUAUAUUUUCCCUUCCUUGUGAACUUUCAUUAGAGCUCUUGUGAACUUUUAUUAAAGCUCAAUACCUGUUCUUUUGUGUAUUUGCAGCGUUGGACUCGUGUAGAUGGAAAGAGUUACUCAACUUACUUCACACUACUGCUUGUCAGAGGGAGGGCUUCCUGGUGCACAAGCAUUCACAAACUCGGCAAAGCUUGUUGAUUUGCUUAAAAAGCAGGCUGAAUCAAAUACGUUGUAUUGGGUGCAUAUGUGCUUCUCCAUCUCUAGCGCUUGAGCCACAUGGUUUACUCAAAGGGAAGAAGGCAACAACAUAUCCUUCUAUGUGCAGCAAGCUUUCUGAUCAAAGUGAAUGUGAGAAUAGGGUGGUGGUUGAUGGAAACCUGAUCACAAGCAGAAGCCAGGGACUUCCAUGAAAUUUGCUCUGGCCAUAGUAGAUAAGUUCUUUGACAAUGCCCUCGAUCUUGCAAGAAGCCUGGUUUUUGUAUAAUGAGCAAAUAAUAGCCAUGUGGUGGAGAGCUGGGCAUAAGGAUGUAAUCAGUAGUUUCUGAAUAAACUAACUUACAAUGACCCAAUAUAUGUUGCAGUUUUUGUACGAGUA